GACGAACGCUGGCGGCGUGCUUAACACAUGCAAGUCGAACGGAAAGGCCCUGCUUUUGUGGGGUGCUCGAGUGGCGAAGGGGGGGUUAACAAGUGGUUAACCACCCCUUUAUUUGGGUAUAACUUCAGGAAACUGGGGCAAAUACCGGAUGGGAGUUCCUUCUACCGGGUGGGGGUUGAAAGGUUGCGGCGGUUGGGGUUGGUUUGGGGGCUAACCGGCUUGUUGGGGGGGUAUGGGCUGACCAAGGCUUUGACGGGUAGCCGGCCUGAGAGGGUGACCGGCCACAUUGGGACUGCGAUACGGACCAGACUCCUACGGGAGGCAGCAGUGGGGAAUAUUGCACAAUGGGCGGAAGCCUGAUGCAGAAACGCCGCGUGCGGGAUGACGGCCUUCGGGUUGUAAACCGCUUUCGCCGGUGACGAAGCGUGAGUGACGGUAAUGGGUAAAGAAGCACCGGCUAACUACGUG
rnacentral:rRNA from 1 species